rnacentral:rRNA from 1 species
CGGCGUGCUAAUACAUGCAAGUCGAGCGGAUAAAAGGGGCUUGCUCCUUUUAGUUAGCGGCGGACGGGUGAGUAACACGUGGGCAACCUGCCCGUAAGAUCGGGAUAACUUCGGGAAACCGGAGCUAAUACCGGAUAACACCGAAGACCGCAUGGUCUUUGGUUGAAAGGCGGCUUUGGCUGUCACUUACGGAUGGGCCCGCGGCGCAUUAGCUAGUUGGUGAGGUAACGGCUCACCAAGGCGACGAUGCGUAGCCGACCUGAGAGGGUGAUCGGCCACACUGGGACUGAGACACGGCCCAGACUCCUACGGGAGGCAGCAGUAGGGAAUCUUCCGCAAUGGACGAAAGUCUGACGGAGCAACGCCGCGUGAGCGAAGAAGGUCUUCGGAUUGUAAAGCUCUGUUGUUAGGGAAGAACAAGUACCGUUCGAAUAGGGCGGUACCGGACGGUACCUAACGAGAAAGCCACGGCAAUUAUU